UACGACGGGGGCUAGCGUUGUUCGGAAUUACUGGGCGUAAAGCGCACGUAGGCGGAUUUGUAAGUCAGGGGUGAAAUCCCGGGGCUCAACCUCGGAACUGCCUUUGAUACUGCAAGUCUUGAGUCCGAUAGAGGUGAGUGGAAUUCCUAGUGUAGAGGUGAAAUUCGUAGAUAUUAGGAAGAACACCAGUGGCGAAGGCGGCUCACUGGAGCGGUACUGACGCUGAGGUGCGAAAGCGUGGGGAGCAAACAGG
rnacentral:rRNA from 1 species